AUGGCCAGCCCCGCCGCGGACAGCUACGUCAACCAGAUAGUCACCGGCUCCGUCCGCGCCGCCAGCGCUGACGGCCUCCUCCUCCUCUCCUACGUCGACGAGCGCGUGGUCUUUCCCGUCCUCGCCGAACAGGGCGCCGCUCCGCUGCGCAAUGAGCCGACCGAGCACGCCGUCAGCGUCACGCGUCUCGUCUGCAACCCUGUCACCGGUCAGCUCUCCCGCCUCCCGCCCGCCCUCUUCUACGAGCCUCAUGUCAGAAAGCUCAUGUGCGGCAAGCACACGGGCCUACUCACCCGAGCCGGUCGCGGCCACGACGGGCACGGGCCGCCCGACAGGUUCGCCGUCGCCGCGCUGCAGGGGGACCGGAUGGCCCGGUUUCUCUCGGAAACAGGCAGGUGGGAAUCUCUGCCGGUCUCGACGUGCCAGCUCCCGCUGGAGCGGGCGAUGGUGCUGGACCGGGAGGUGGUGGCCUUCGGCGGCCGCCUGUGGUGGCUGGACGCGACCUGCGGCACCAUCUCCGCCGACCCGUUCAGCGACCGGCCGGAGCUCUGCUUCGUCGAGCUGCCGAGGGGCAGCGUGCUGCCGGCCGCCGCCCCACGGGACUGUCCCGAUUGCGGGGACCCCUGCGGCGGCUGCGGCACAUCGAAGCACCGGCGCCUGUGCGUCAGCCAAGGGCGGCUGCGGUACCUCGAGGUCUCUCAAGAAGAGCCGUUUGUGCUCAGCUGCUUUGUGCUCGAUGUUGACAAGCGCGGUGGCUGGACGCUGGAGCACCGGCUCGACCUCAGCCGCUACGAGGCUCACCGGUACGGCCACCCAUGGCUGCCCUUAAAGGGGGAGAACACGCCACAAGUUGGGUUUCUUGACCCACUUGACGCCAAUGUUGUCUACAUGUCGGCCUGCAUCACCACUCUUGAGAAUACGCCACGAGUCGUCUUCGUCGUGGACAUGAAGAUAGACCUUCCGUUUCGGAGUUAUGCGUAUAGAUCAGGCGAACCCUGCUUCGUACCUUGUGUUCUUCCGCCGUGGCUUGGAUCGAGCCAGAUCCCUUCUGCAGGCAAGAAAAGUGUUAAGAAGAACAAGAGUUUGGCAGAUGUUCUGGUUCGUGCAGACAAUCUGCAGAAGAGAUGA
rnacentral:rRNA from 1 species